GUAGAAUGGAGCCAUUAUGUGGGGGAAUAGCACGGCAUAUACAGAUGUCAAGUGAAAUUCCUUUAAAACUAGCCUUUGAGGAGACAUUAACUCAGCGUUCUGAGAUGUCUUAGUCCUUUAAGAAAACACUUUUUCCUGAGGUAUUCAACGUCAAGAGGCACUUGCUCCUCUGUCACUUUCCAGGUACUUGGGAGUAAAAAGUCUGUCUGAGAUGAAGAAGGAAAAAAAAAAUUUGACUUCUAAUGG